rnacentral:tRNA from 1 species
GGUAAAAUGGCUGAGGAAUAAGCGAUAAAUUGUAAAUUUAUUAACGAAUUAGGUAUUCUUUUACCA